CAAAGGUGGCCUAUGACGUAGAUCCUGUGUGCUGCUCUGCGGCGUGGGGUUGGGACCACUCCGUGAAGACCAAUGAAAUGAUGGCGUGGUUGGUGAGCGAAGGGUACGGACGCGGUAGCCGCCCGCGCUCAGCUCUCUGGCCACGCUUCGGUCAGAGCCCCGCGCUGCCUGGGCACGGCCGCCAGGGGGCGCGGUCCUCCGCCAGCGGGUCGCCCGCGCUGCCAAGUGGCCAGGGUGGGACCUCUGCCCAGCGCAGUGGCAGCUGCAGCGCCUCGGGCUCCUAAGGCCAGCCGGGGAGGCUCCAGCGAUGCUGCCAGAAUUCGUGAACUAACCGUCCCUCCUGCUUUGCAGACGGAGCCCAGGACGACCCUGAGGAUUUAAGUUUCCCUCACUGGACAUAAUUUCUUAUCCUCCCCCGCUACGGAAAUUCUAGAGGACAGAAGCCAGGACAUUAUUUGUAAAGCUCGGGUGCAUCUGAAGGCUUCUCGUGAGUUUGUUUUGGUGCUUUCAUCGACGAGAACUUUCUGUUGGUUACCGCUGCUCCUUUUCGGGUGUAGGGAGAAUAGACUCCUACUUUGCAUUUUUAACUGACUACCUCACCCGCAAUGGUGAUGCUUGAGAACACCUCAUAGAGUUACUACAAAACCCACUUGUGCCGGGGGAGAGGCACAUGAGGAAGAUGCCACACUGUCUCCUGCGGUGUCUAAAUGGCAACACUGGAUGCUAUUUCUCUACACUGGGUGUGCUUGGAAAUACUGUUAAUGAAAUACUUAGAUACACUAAGUGUCAAGUCAGCUGGGAGUGGUGGCAACCAUGUGAUCUCAGCUCUUGGGAGGUGGAGAAAGGAAGAUAACUUCCACACCAUACUGGGCUACAAGAGAGACCCUUUUAAAUUUUAAUUAAUAUUUUUAAAGUAUGAAUAUAGUAAAGGAUCGUGAAGACUUGACUCGCCAAUAAAUGAACAUGCAAAAUAGUGGAUUAAAGCAUUGUUAAAACUC